rnacentral:rRNA from 1 species
AACGAACGCUGGCGGCAUGCCUAACACAUGCAAGUCGAACGAGACCUUCGGGUCUAGUGGCGCACGGGUGCGUAACGCGUGGGAACCUGCCCUUAGGUUCGGAAUAACUCCCCGAAAGGGGUGCUAAUACCGGAUAAUGUCUUCGGACCAAAGAUUUUUCGCCUUUGGAUGGGCCCGCGUUGGAUUAGCUAGUUGGUAGGGUAAAAGCCUACCAAGGCGACGAUCCAUAGCUGGUCUGAGAGGAUGAUCAGCCACACUGGGACUGAGACACGGCCCAGACUCCUACGGGAGGCAGCAGUGGGGAAUAUUGGACAAUGGGCGAAAGCCUGAUCCAGCAAUGCCGCGUGAGUGAUGAAGGCGUUAGGGUUGUAAAGCUCUUUUACCCGGGAUGAUAAUGACAGUACCGGGAGAAUAAGCUCCGGCUAACUCCGUG